UACGUAGGGUGCGAGCGUUAAUCGGAAUUACUGGGCGUAAAGCGUGCGCAGGCGGUUUUGUAAGCCAGAUGUGAAAGCCCCGGGCUUAACCUGGGAAUGGCAUUUGGGACUGCAAGGCUAGAGUGCGGCAGAGGAGACUGGAAUUCCUGGUGUAGCAGUGAAAUGCGUAGAUAUCAGGAGGAAUACCGAUGGCGAAGGCAGGUCUCUGGGCUGACACUGACGCUCAUGCACGAAAGCGUGGGGAGCAACAGG
rnacentral:rRNA from 1 species